UUGCAGGCAGCUGGUAAUGCUUUUAAGGCCACUGCUCGUGACUGGGUGAAUACUGUGGCGCCGCAUCGCCAAACACGGGGUGUUUCAGUGAUAGUCAUUCGAGCGUGGAACCAUGAAAAGUGAAAGGGAACUCCGCAUUCGGUAUCAGCGUUCUAACACCGCAUUCUCGGUGCCAAUCUCUCUGAAAGCUAAGUAAGAGAUCAAAAACAGAGUCUGUUCCCCCGCUGAAAGCACUCGGUGCGACAAAAGACAGCUGCUAUUGGCCUCGACAUCGAGCAGAAUCGGAACCCAGCGGGGAAUGGACGAAGCCCCGAAGUGUGGAUGCCGGUGGCCCGUCGCUGUUGCAG
rnacentral:lncRNA from 1 species